ACGAGUGAUCGAUUCCAUGUUGACCUAUUCACAACCUUCAUACACACUCCACCGUAUCUAGAAUACCCCGUGUUGGGUUUUGGUGGCACAACGGAAGGGUUAGGUGUUUAAAAUUUUAUUCAAAAUAUUCGAUGCACCAGAAAUCCUAAUGCCCAAAAAUCCUUGACCAUAUCAAUCAAAGUAUAAUUAAAAUAAAUUUUGGAUCAAAAGAAUACCUAUAGUGCUAAUCCAAUUUCUAUAAGGUGUCUAUAUAUCUACCCUCUAAUAGUGAUCCACAUGAAAAUUGAAUCAAGGACAAUGCUCUUCCUUCACCUUGCUUCAAGAGUUCUAGCCCCUAGAACUCGACUAGCCACCAAUCGAUCAGAUCUUCCUUUAGACCUGAGUCUGAACCUCUCAGAACCAUCCACUAGAUCUAACCACCUUUUUCUGGACCUCUUAAUCCCUUAGAGCUAUUAAGAUUAGGCUUGUCUUAGAAGAACAAGCCUUUGUCCUAAACCCUAGAGUUGUAAGAGAGGGAGAGAGGGAGUGGAUAGGGGAUGUAAGAAUUGAAUGAUCAACCCUUCUGCUGCCUCCUAUUUAUAGCACCAAAUGAGUCAUCAAUAGAGAAGGCAUGACUCAUCUAGAAAGAUAUAUCAAGUUCAUAUAUCACUUAUCUAAGAGUCUUUAAACAGAAGGACUCUUCAGGGUAUGAUACAUCGAUUUCGGCCCUCUCACAUGCGCACACUCAGAAUGAGAUGCUUUUUGCAUCUCUUCUGACUUCAGAUCAGCAUGAAAAAUUGCCACAUAAUACUUUAUUCAAAUAGAAAGGCUACUAGCAAGUGAUGCCUAAUUUGAAUAAGAGUUCAAACUUGAGAAGGACUCUUCAUCAGAGAGACGCAUGAGUACCUUCUUGCUAUCACACGCGUGCAUGCCUAGAAAAGGGCAUCAAAAGUAACCUUCCUUAAUCUGAUAAUUUUUUAGAUUUUUACCAUAUGAUCAACACUUAAAACUUAUCCUUAUCAAAAAAAAUUAUCAGAUAAGAAAAUCACUUAAGACUCCUUAAACAGAAGGAGACUUCACAUCCCUUUGCACAUCCAGAA
rnacentral:lncRNA from 1 species